rnacentral:rRNA from 1 species
CGAGCGUUAAUCGGAAUUACUGGGCGUAAAGCGUGCGCAGGCGGUGAGCUGUGUCCGAUGUGAAAGCCCCGGGCUUAACCUGGGAAUGGCCGUCGAAACUGGCGAACUGGAGUGUGGCAGAGGGGGGUGGAAUUCCGCGUGUAGCAGUGAAAUGCGUAGAGAUGCGGAGGAACACCGAUGGCGAAGGCAGCCCCCUGGGCUGACACUGACGCUCAGGCACGAAAGCGUGGGGAGCAAACAGG